UCUGCCCAAGAGGCGUCUUCUGACUGCGUUAAUCUGCCGUUUAGAAGUCGAAAUGCCUUUGCAAAAGGCCACUGGAAAAUUUUUUAACACAUAUUAUGCCACAGCUGAAAGAUUGCAUAAAAUUUAAAUUGGCCAGAACGAAAAGAUACUUCAAUUUUUAACUCCAUUUGGUCACCUCCCUGUUCCCUGUGUGCAAGUUACACAGAAGAAAGGGACUGGAAAUUUCAACCAUGUGACAGAUACACCUGGGAGAAGGAGCCGCCUACCUCAACUCUUGAGAGAUCUCAGUUGUCCACACGUAGUAGUGCACGUCCACUUUAGCAUGUCUACUCCGCCAUGCGUAUGUGUGCAAUCCUUCAAAUAGUGAAAUGCCUAACAGAAGCUGUUAUGGUAGCAGGCACCUGCAAUCCCAGCACUCAAGAGAGAAUGAGUAACAGCACUCCAAAGUACUGUGCAGAAACCUGAACUGGAGAAACUUUGGUGAACAAGGGCCGUUUUGGCUACAUCUUAUCUCUAGCAAAUUAUGGACUGGCAAAAGACUUACUUUUACUUUGGUUCCUGUAUUUUGUCAAUUUUUCCACAUCUGCUGGUCAAAGGCCAUAAUAUCACUGUCUUCUGCAAAGAUCAAGUGUGUGUUCGACUUUCUUGUAAGUAAGUUUUCGAUAUACUCCAAACAGGAACAUGGAAGUUGAUAAGUCGUUGACACUGUUGGGGGGUGAUUAGCAAGAAGCAGUACACCUCAAUGAAAUGAGCACAACUUUGUCUCAAGCUACACAACUUCAUGAAAGGCAAUGUGGUUAUGCAUGGAAUAUGCUUGUUCACACAGAGUCCAGAAUGAAUUUGAAAGACUGAGCUGAUGGUCUGAAAUCCUAACACAUUGUCUUUCCUUAGUCAUGGCCUUUCUUGACCAAGGAUAUUGUGUCUUCCUCAGUAACUUUUAUACUCUUCUCAGACUUUUUUGAGAUUCACAUCAAAACAGGGCUGAUAAGGUUGGUACAGCUCGUUGGAACAGAAAACAAAUUCCAAGCUCUGGGAAAGAAGAAUUGCAAAAGUUUUGAGACCACUAUAGCCAGAUUGUGUGGUGAACGUAUGGCACUGAAAUGGUGUGACAAGCAGGUGGUGACAAUCUUGUCCACCUUAUAUAAGGUUACUGUGAUUGAGGCAGAGGACAGAAAUUAUAAAACUAAAUCGAAGCCUGUGUCACUGUAGAUUAUCACAGGACUAUGGAGCAGUGGACUUGGCUGAUCAGAUAAUUACUUCCUAUCAGACUGAGCACAAAAGACACAAGGUUUGGUAUAAGAAAUUCUUUCACCACCUUCUAAACAUUACAGUGUUGAAUUCCUACAUCCUGUUCAGGAGGACAGUUCUGAGCACAUGAACAGCCAUGUAAACUUCAGCUGAUGUUGAUUGAAAAAGCGCUAGAGAUGCUCAGGUUCAUAAGCGUGACGAUUGGGUGCUCAUGCUCCAUGCAUGACAUGUGCCUCCUUUGAACCUUGCUACGACCUCGGCACAUUACCCAUCUGACGUGAAGAGAAAAAAAAAGAAAAAGCACUAGAAGAGCAUCACAAGCUAGGGCAGUGACAUCUGAGAGGCCAUCUGUUUUCUGAUGAUGUCACAUCUCUUCUAACUUCCUGAAAAGUGUUUCCUCCAAGAGCAUACCACCAACAUAAGAGAGACAAAAUCCACCCAGCUGCUGCAAAGUUUGCUGUUCAAACAACAAGGAGAUUAGAGAAAAAGAUGAUUUUUUUGGCCACAUGUGAUGUACUGCUCUGUGGUAUUCCAUGCUUUGAAAUUUACCACAUUAAAAAAGGUUGUUUGUU